rnacentral:rRNA from 1 species
AGGGUUUGAUUAUGGCUCAGGAUUAACGCUGGCGGUAUGCUUAAUACAUGCAAGUCGAACGGAAACUUUUUAAGUUUCAGUGGCGAACGGGCGAGUAAAACAUAGGUUAUCUACCUUUAAGACGAGAAUAACUUUUGGAAACAAAAGCUAAUACUGGAUAGGAAUAAUUAGUAAUUUUUUUAUUUUAAAAAACUUUAUUGUUUGCUUAAAGAUGAGCUUAUGCCGUAUUAGUUAGUAUGGUAAGGUAUCUGGUCUUCACCCCAAGACUAUGAUGCGUGAGCUGGACCUUGAAAGGUUGAACAGCCGCAUUCGGGACUUGAGACACUGGCCCAGACUUCUACGGAAGGCAGCAGUAGGGAAUUUUCGGCCAUGGAGGCCACUCUGACCGAGCCAUACCGCGUGAAUGAUGAAGUAUUUCGAUAUGUAAAAUUCUUUUAUAGAGGAAGAAAACUUUUUAAUUAAAGUGUGACGGUACUCUAAGAAUAAGCCCUGGCUAACUAUGUGCCAGCAGCCGCGGUAAUACAUAGAGGGCAAGCGUUAUCCGGAUUUAUUGGGCGUAAAGGGCGCGUAGGCGGUAUUUUAAGUCUUUAGUUUAAAUGCAAUGCUUAACAUUGUACAGCUUAAAGAAACUAAAAUACUUGAGUUAGAUAGAGGUAAGUGGAAUUUCAUGUGUAACGGUAAAAUGUGUAAAUAUAUGAAGGAACACCAGAGGCGAAGGCGGCUUACUGGAUCUACACUGACGCUGAGGCGCGAAAGCGUGGGGAGCAAACAGGAUUAGAUACCCUGGUAGUCCACGCUGUAAACGAUGAAUACUAGGCAUUGGUUUUUUUAUCAGUGCCGUAGCUCACGCGUUAAGUAUUCCGCCUGAGUAGUACGUACGCAAGUAUAAAACUUAAAGGAAUUGACGGGACUCCGUACAAGCGGUGGAUCAUGCUGUUUAAUUCGAUAUGACGCGAAAAAUCUUACCAGGUCUUGACAUACUAUGCAAUAACUUAGAAAUAAGUUUGGAGGUUAACAUAGAUACAGGUGGUGCAUGGUCAUCGUCAGCUCGUGUCGUGAGAUGUUAGGUUAAGUCCUAUAACGAGCGCAACCCUUGUAAUUAGUUGCUAACAUUUAGUUGAGGACUCUAAUUAUACUGCCAAUCAAAAAAUUGGAGGAGGGUGAGGACGACGUUAGAUUCGCAUGCUCCUUAUGACCUUGGCUUCAGGCGUGAUACAAUGGUUGGAACAAAAGGUAGCAGGAUUGUAAUAUUAAGCUAAUCCUAUGAAAACAUAUCUCGGUCUCGGAUAUUAGAAGUCUGUAACUCGACUUCAUGAAGUAGGAAUCGCUAGUAAUCGUGAAUCAGCACGUCACGGUGAAUACGUUCUCGGGGUUUGUACACACCGCCCGUCAAGCCAUGAAAGUUAAUGGUACCCGAAACCGAUAACUUAACUAUUGCAAAAUAGAAAGAUUCGUCUAAGGUAAAAUUAAUAAUUGGGGCUAAGUCGUAACAAGGUAACC